rnacentral:rRNA from 1 species
GACGAACGCUGGCGGCGUGCCUAAUACAUGCAAGUAGAACGCAGUUGCGAACGGGUGAGUAACGCGUAGGUAACUGCCUCAUAGCGGGGGACAACUAUUGGAAACGAUAGCUAAUACCGCAUAAUGUGAGAUGGACCUGCGUUGUAUUUGAUAGUUGGGGAGGAAAAGGCUCACCAAGGCGACGAUACAUAGCCGACCUGAGAGGGUUUUCGACCACACUGGGACUGGAGCUAUCCCCAGACUCCUACGAGAGUCAGCAGAAGGGAUUCUUCGGGAAUGAACGGAAGGCUGACCGAGCAACGCCGCGUGAUUGAAUAGGGUUUUCGGAUCGUAAAGCUCUGUUGUUAGAGAAGCGAUGACUAACCAGAAAGGGACGGCUAGCUGCGUGCCAGCAGCCGCGAGGAUAC